AUCGAUGGAUAGGGGUUCUGAGAGGAAGGUCCCCCACAUUGGAACUGAGACACGGUCCAAACUCCUACGGGAGGCAGCAGUGAGGAAUAUUGGUCAAUGGGCGCUAGCCUGAACCAGCCAAGUAGCGUGAAGGAUGACUGCCCUAUGGGUUGUAAACUUCUUUUAUAUGGGAAUAAAGUGCAGUAUGUAUACUGCUUUGCAUGUACCUUAUGAAUAAGGAUCGGCUAACUCCGUGCCAGCAGCCGCGGUAAUACGGAGGAUCCGAGCGUUAUCCGGAUUUAUUGGGUUUAAAGGGAGCGUAGGCGGGUUGUUAAGUCAGUUGUGAAAGUUUGCGGCUCAACCGUAAAAUUGCAGUUGAUACUGGCAUCCUUGAGUACAGUAGAGGUGGGCGGAAUUCGUGGUGUAGCGGUGAAAUGCUUAGAUAUCACGAAGAACUCCGAUUGCGAAGGCAGCCUGCUGGACUGUAACUGACGCUGAUGCUCGAAAGUGUGGGUAUCAAACAGGAUUAGAUACCCUGGUAGUCCACACA
rnacentral:rRNA from 1 species